GACGAACGCUGGCGGCGUGCCUAAUACAUGCAAGUCGAGCGCGGGAAGCAGACUGAAGCCUUCGGGCGGACGUCUGUGGAACGAGCGGCGGAUGGGUGAGUAACACGUGGGCAACCUGCCUGUAAGCUCGGGAUAACUAGCGGAAACGCUAGCUAAUACCGAAUAACGCUGCGCACCGCAUGGCGCGCAGAUGAAAGGCGGCGCAAGCUGCCACUUACAGAUGGGCCCGCGGCGCAUUAGCUAGUUGGUGGGGUAACGGCCUACCAAGGCGACGAUGCGUAGCCGACCUGAGAGGGUGAUCGGCCACACUGGGACUGAGACACGGCCCAGACUCCUACGGGAGGCAGCAGUGGGGAAUAUUGGACAAUGGGGGCAACCCUGAUCCAGCCAUGCCGCGUGUGUGAAGAAGGCCUUCGGGUUGUAAAGCACUUUCAGUGGUGAGGAAGGCCUGUUGGUUAAUAUCCAACAGGA
rnacentral:rRNA from 1 species